AUUGAACGCUGGCGGCAGGCCUAACACAUGCAAGUCGAGCGGAUGAAGGGAGCUUGCUCCUGGAUUCAGCGGCGGACGGGUGAGUAAUGCCUAGGAAUCUGCCUGGUAGUGGGGGAUAACGUCCGGAAACGGGCGCUAAUACCGCAUACGUCCUGAGGGAGAAAGUGGGGGAUCUUCGGACCUCACGCUAUCAGAUGAGCCUAGGUCGGAUUAGCUAGUUGGUGGGGUAAAGGCCUACCAAGGCGACGAUCCGUAACUGGUCUGAGAGGAUGAUCAGUCACACUGGAACUGAGACACGGUCCAGACUCCUACGGGAGGCAGCAGUGUGGAAUAUUGGACAAUGGGCGAAAGUCUGAUCCAGCCAUGCCGCGUGUGUGAAGAAGGUCUUCGGAUUGUAAAGCACUUUAAGUUGGGAGGAAGAGCAGUAAGUUAAUACCUUGCUGUUUUGACGUUACCAACAGAAUAAGCACCGGCUAACUUCGUG
rnacentral:rRNA from 1 species